AUGCUGAUGGGGCCCAAAGCCCAAUGCCCAUGGCCUGGCGGUCAGCUCGCCCUGCCCGUCUCCUCCGUGCCUGGGCCGCAGAGUCCCCACCGCAGGAGCCCCGGGCAGGGCCUGCCCCCAGGGUCCCCGGACACAGCUGAGGGAACCUGGGGGUCUUGCCUCUCAGCCCUGACGAGUGUGGAGGGAGACGUGUCGGGGCGCCCCCCGCAGCCCUGGGGGCCACACGACCCCCGGGGCGAAGGUGGCUCAGUCCUGAGUGACCCCUCACAAACUGCGGCCCCCUGCUGGCUAACACCCGUCUUCCGGGGCGUCUGCAGCAUCCGCCUUGCCCGAAAGGCCUUGGGUCCGAACCCACGCAAGACGAAGAGGCGGUUUUCCCGCUGCUGCAGAGAAGCCUCCCUCCUCCCCCGGGGACGGGCCCCCUCUGCCGGCCUUCGCGGCCUCCGGGCCGGCGGGACGGGGCUGGAGACCGGGGCGCGGUGCCGCCUGGCCCCGGACCGUCCUGCGCUGCCCAGCCACCGCGGAGCCCCGGUGCUGAGCGGACACGCGGCCGUUCGCCGUGUCUCCGCAAGGCCCAGAGGGAGCGCAGAAAUAGGAACAGAGCUCGGGUGGUUUCCGGGGUCAGCCAGCGGUCCCUGCCGCCUCUUCCGCCAAGGACACAGGGGCUGCGCGCAGCCUCUCUCGGCCCGUGGCGCCGGCCACCCUCAAGUCGGGGUGGGUUGGAUCGGGGGUGACAGACGCAGGCGCAGCCCGCGUUCGAGGUCGGAAGCCACGCAGCCUGAGCGGCCCCGCCCCCAACCCCGAGGCCACGCCCCCGCCUUCCAGAGCCGCGCGGGGGCGGGACGCACCCAGGUCCCUGCCGCCCCGGAGCCACAGCGCGCCGCCAGCGCCCUCUCGUGGCAGCCUCGGGACGCGCGGGCGCGGGGGCGGGAGCGGGCGCUCAGACGCCAGAGCUCCGAGUCCCCGCGAGGGGCUCCGAGUGGGCACCCGGUGAAAGCUUCCCUCCACCGCUCCGCGCCCACUCACCACUUCUGCCCACGUUCGUGUGCACGCGUGUGCACACGUAUGGGUGUGUGUGUGGGACCGCAAAGCAGUCCGUUAGGCUGGGCUCUUGCUCCCAAAAGUUCCUUUAAAGGACCCUAG
rnacentral:lncRNA from 1 species